UACGUAGGUGGCAAGCGUUGUCCGGAUUUAUUGGGCGUAAAGGGAGCGCAGGCGGUGACUUAAGUCUGAUGUGAAAGCCCACGGCUCAACCGUGGAAGGUCAUUGGAAACUGGGUCACUUGAAUAUAGAAGAGGAAAGUGGAAUUCCAUGCGUAGCGGUGAAAUGCGUAGAUAUAUGGAGGAACACCAGUGGCGAAGGCGACUUUCUGGUCUAUUAUUGACGCUGAGGCUCGAAAGCAUGGGUAGCAAACAGGAUUAGAUA
rnacentral:rRNA from 1 species